rnacentral:rRNA from 1 species
CCUGGCUCAGAUUGAACGCUGGCGGCAUGGCUAAAGCAUGCAAGUCGAGCGAGAAUCUAACUUCGGUUAGAGGACAGCGGCGAAAGGGCGAGUAACGCGAUCGUACGUACCCCAAGGUGGAGGAUAGUCACGGGAAACUGUGCGUAAUACUCCAUGUGCUCUAAGGAGGAAAGGCUUCGGCCGCCUCGGGAGCGGCGAUCGUCCUAUCAGCUUGUUGGUGAGGUAAAGGCUCACCAAGGCUUAGACGGGUAGCGGGUGUGAGAGCAUGACCCGCCGCAUCGGGACUGAGACACUGCCCGGACUCCUACGGGAGGCUGCAGCGACGAAUAUUCCGCAAUGGGCGAAAGCCUGACGGAGCAAUGCCGCGUGUAGGAUGAAGCGCCUUCGGUGUGUAAACUACUGUCAGGGACUAGAACCAACGAUCAGUCCCAGAGGAAGGACCGGCUAAUUCCGUGCCAGCAGCCGCGGUAAUACGAGGGGUCCAAGCGUUAAUCGGAAUCACUGGGCUUAAAGGGUACGUAGGCGGCCUUGUAAGCAUCUCGUGAAAUCCCACGGCUCAACCGUGGAAUUGCGGGGUGAACUGCAAGGCUUGAGGCAGGUAGAGGUCGUCGGAACGAUCGGUGGAGCGGUGAAAUGCGUUGAUAUCGAUCGGAACGCCGAAGGAGAAGUCAGGCGACUGGGCCUGUCCUGACGCUGAGGUACGAAAGCGUGGGUAGCGAACGGGAUUAGAUACCCCGGUAGUCCACGCCCUAAACGAUGUGCACUAGAUCGAGGCGGCUCUGACGUCGUCUCGGCCGAAGCGAAAGCGUUAAGUGCACCGCCUGGGGAGUACGGUCGCAAGGCUAAAACUCAAAGGAAUUGACGGGGGCUCACACAAGCGGUGGAGCAUGUGGCUUAAUUCGAUGCAACGCGAAGAACCUUAUCCUGGGUUUGACAUGUAUGGAUUAGCUCUGUGAAACAUGAGUGACGCUCUUCGGAGUGGAACGUGCACAGGUGCUGCAUGGCUGUCGUCAGCUCGUGCUGUGAAGUGUCGGGUUAAGUCCCUUAACGAGCGCAACCCCUAUCGCUAGUUGCCAGCGGGUAAAGCCGGGGACUCUAGCGAGACUGCCGGUGUCAAACCGGAGGAAGGUGGGGACGACGUCAAGUCAUCAUGGCCUUUAUGUCUUGGGCUGCAAACGUGCUACAAUGGCGUAUACAAAGCGAGGCGAUGUCGCGAGGCGGAGCAAAUCGCAAAAAGUACGCCCCAGUUCGGAUUGCAGGCUGCAACUCGCCUGCAUGAAGUCGGAAUCGCUAGUAAUCGGAGAUCAGCUACGCUCCGGUGAAUGUGUCCCUGAGCCUUGUACACACCGCCCGUCACGUCAUGGAAGCCGGGAGUGCCCGAAGUCGCCUCGAUUCAGGGGUGCCUACGGCAAGCUCGGUGACUGGGACGAAGUCGUAACA